UAGGGAAUAUUGCGCAAUGGGGGAAACCCUGACGCAGCGACGCCGCGUGAGUGAUGAAGGCCUUCGGGUCGUAAAGCUCUGUCGUAAGGGAAUAAUAAACUGAAGGUACCUUACAAGAAAGGACCGGCUAACUUCGUGCCAGCAGCCGCGGUAAGACGAGGGGUCCUAGCGUUGUCCGGAAUUAUUGGGCGUAAAGCGGGUGUAGGCUGUUUACUAAGUCAGAUGUGAAAUACCUAGGCUUAACCUGGGAAGUGCAUUUGAUACUAUUAAACUUGAGUGUCAGAGAGGGCAGUGGAAUUCCUGGUGUAGUGGUGAAAUACGUAGAUAUCAGGAGGAACAUCGGUGGCGAAGGCGGCUGCCUGGCUGAACACUGACGCUGAGAUCCGAAAGCGUGGGGAGC
rnacentral:rRNA from 1 species